GCAUUACGCUCCUGGUGUUCCGAUAAUGCUUGUUGGAGCUAAGCUUGACCUUCGGGACGAUGAGCAGUUCUUGGCAGACCAUCCGGCUGCAGUGCCUAUAUCCACGGCUCAGGGAGAGGAAUUAAGGAAACAGAUAGAGGCCCCUGCAUACGUCAAAUGUAGUUCGAAAACACAACAG